UACGGGAGGCAGCAGUGGGGAAUAUUGCACAAUGGGCGCAAGCCUGAUGCAGCCAUGCCGCGUGUAUGAAGAAGGCCUUCGGGUUGUAAAGUACUUUCAGCAGUGAGGAAGGUGGGUAUGUUAAUAGCAUACUCAUUUGACGUUAGCUGCAGAAGAAGCACCGGCUAACUCCGUGCCAGCAGCCGCGGUAAUACGGAGGGUGCGAGCGUUAAUCGGAAUUACUGGGCGUAAAGCGCAUGCAGGUGGUUUGUUAAGUCAGAUGUGAAAGCCCGGGGCUCAACCUCGGAAUUGCAUUUGAAACUGGACAAACUAGAGUACUGUAGAGGGGGUAGAAUUUCAGGUGUAGCGGUGAAAUGCGUAGAGAUCUGAAGGAAUACCGGUGGCGAAGGCGGCCCCCUGGACAGAUACUGACACUCAGAUGCGAAAGCGUGGGGAGCAAACAGGAUUAGAUACCCUGGUAG
rnacentral:rRNA from 1 species